AAGAACCUUACCAGGCCUUGACAUGCAGAGAACUUUCCAGAGAUGGAUUGGUGCCUUCGGGGAACUCUGACACAGGUGCUGCAUGGCUGUCGUCAGCUCGUGUCGUGAGAUGUUGGGUUAAGUCCCGUAACGAGCGCAACCCUUGUCCUUAGUUACCAGCACGUAAUGGUGGGCACUCUAAGGAGACUGCCGGUGACAAACCGGAGGAAGGUGGGGAUGACGUCAAGUCAUCAUGGCCCGUCGACGCGGCCG
rnacentral:rRNA from 1 species